UUAAGUUAACAAGGGCGCAUGGUGAAUGCCUUGGCACUAGGAGCCGAUGAAGGACGGGACUAACACCGAUAUGCUUCGGGGAGCUGUACGUAAGCUAUGAUCCGGAGAUUUCCGAAUGGGGCAACCCAGCAGUUUUAAUCAACUGUUACCACUAGAUGAAUUCAUAGUCUAGUUGGAGGUAAACGCUGUGAACUGAAACAUCUCAUUAGCAGCAGGAAUAUAAAGAAAUUUCGAUUCCCUAAGUAGCGGCGAGCGAACGGGGAACAGCCCAAACCAAAGUGCUUGCACUUUGGGGUUGUAGGACUGAACAUUUGAGUUACCAAAGAACUUGAUAGUCGAAGGAUUUGGGAAAAUCCGCCAUAGAUGGUGAUAGCCCAGUAGAUUAAAUCAAAUUCUCUCAGUUCAGGAUCCUGAGUACGGCGGAACACGUGAAAUUCCGUCGGAAUCCGGGAGGACCAUCUCCCAAGGCUAAAUACUACCUAGUGACCGAUAGUGAACCAGUACCGUGAGGGAAAGGUGAAAAGCACCCCGGGAGGGGAGUGAAAUAGUUCCUGAAACCAUGUGCCUACAAUAAGUCAGAGCGCGUUAAUGCGUGAUGGCGUGCCUUUUGUAGAAUGAACCGGCGAGUUAUGAUCCCGUGCAAGGUUAAGACUAAAAAGUCGGAGCCGUAGCGAAAGCGAGUCUGAAAUGGGCGUUUUGAGUACGAGGUUAUAGACCCGAAACCAGGUGACCUAUCCAUGUCCAGGUUGAAGGUGCGGUAAAACGCACUGGAGGACCGAACCCGUGUAAGUUGAAAAUUGCUGGGAUGAGGUGUGGAUAGCGGUGAAAUUCCAAACGAACUUGGAGAUAGCUGGUUCUCUCCGAAAUAGCUUUAGGGCUAGCCUCGGAAUUAGGAUCAUGGAGGUAGAGCACUAUUUGGACUAGGGGCCCGUCUUGGGUUACUGAAUUCAGAUAAACUCCGAAUGCCAUUGAUUCAUAUCCGGGAGUCAGACGAUGAGUGAUAAGAUCCACCGUCGAAAGGGGAACAGCCCAGACCAUCAGUUAAGGUCCCUAAAUGUAUGCUAAGUGGAAAAGGAUGUGGAGUUGCAUAGACAACUAGGAUGUUGGCUCAGAAGCAGCCACCAUUUAAAGAGUGCGUAAUAGCUCACUAGUCGAGUGAUCCUGCGCCGAAAAUGUACCGGGGCUAAGCAUACUACCGAAACCAUGGAUGCGACCAUUAGGUCGCGUGAUAGGAGAGCGUUCUAAGGGCGGUGAAGCAAGAUCGUGAGGACUUGUGGAGCGCUUAGAAGUGAGAAUGCCGGUAUGAGUAGCGAAAGAUAGGUGAGAAUCCUAUCCACCGAAUGACUAAGGUUUCCUGGGGAAGGCUCGUCCUCCCAGGGUUAGUCGGGACCUAAGUCGAGGCCGAGAGGCGUAGACGAUGGAUAACAGGUUGAGAUUCCUGUACUAGUUAAGUGCGUUUGAGCAAUGGAGGGACGCAGGAGGCUAAGAUGUGCAUUCUGUUGGAUUAGAAUGUCCAAGCAGUAAGUCUUGUGAAGAGUCAAAUGCUUUUCACUUUAAGGACAAACUGUGAUGGGGAGCGAAAUUUAGUAGCGAAGCGUCUGAUGUCACACUGCCGAGAAAAGCUUCUAGUGAGUACUUAACUACCCGUACCGCAAACCGACACAGGUAGUCGAGGAGAGAAUCCUAAGGUGAGCGAGUGAACUCUCGUUAAGGAACUCGGCAAAAUGACCCCGUAACUUCGGGAGAAGGGGUGCUGAUCGCAAGAUCAGCCGCAGUGAAUAGGCCCAGGCGACUGUUUAUCAAAAACACAGGUCUCUGCAAAAUCGUAAGAUGACGUAUAGGGGCUGACGCCUGCCCGGUGCUGGAAGGUUAAAAGGAUGGGUUAGCUUCGGCGAAGCUCAGAAUUGAAGCCCCAGUAAACGGCGGCCGUAACUAUAACGGUCCUAAGGUAGCGAAAUUCCUUGUCGGGUAAGUUCCGACCCGCACGAAAGGCGUAACGAUCUGGGCACUGUCUCAACGAGAGACUCGGUGAAAUUAUAUUGUCCGUGAAGAUGCGGACUACCCGCGACAGGACGGAAAGACCCCAUGGAGCUUUACUGUAGCUUGAUAUUGAGUGUUUGUACAGCUUGUACAGGAUAGGUAGGAGCCAUAGAAACCGGAACGCUAGUUUCGGUGGAGGCGUUGGUGGGAUACUACCCUCGCUGUAUGACCACUCUAACCCGCACCACUAAUCGUGGUGGGAGACAGUGUCAGGUGGGCAGUUUGACUGGGGCGGUCGCCUCCUAAAAAGUAACGGAGGCGCCCAAAGGUUCCCUCAGAAUGGUUGGAAAUCAUUCGCAGAGUGUAAAGGCACAAGGGAGCUUGACUGCGAGACAGACAGGUCGAGCAGGGACGAAAGUCGGGCUUAGUGAUCCGGUGGUACCGUAUGGAAGGGCCAUCGCUCAACGGAUAAAAGCUACCCUGGGGAUAACAGGCUUAUCUCCCCCAAGAGUCCACAUCGACGGGGAGGUUUGGCACCUCGAUGUCGGCUCAUCGCAUCCUGGGGCUGUAGUCGGUCCCAAGGGUUGGGCUGUUCGCCCAUUAAAGCGGUACGCGAGCUGGGUUCAGAACGUCGUGAGACAGUUCGGUCCCUAUCCGUCGCGGGCGUAGGAAAUUUGAGAGGACCUGUCCUUAGUACGAGAGGACCGGGAUGGACAUACCUCUGGUGUACCAGUUGUGCCGCCAGGCGCAUCGCUGGGUAGCUACGUAUGGAUGUGAUAAACGCUGAAAGCAUCUAAGUGUGAAACACACCUCGAGAUGAGAUUUCCCAUUCCUUUAUGGAAGUAAGACCCCUGAAAGAUGAUCAGGUAGAUAGGUUAGAAGUGGCAGUGCGGUGACGCAUGAAGCGGACUAAUACUAAUCGGUCGAGGACUUAACCAA
rnacentral:rRNA from 1 species